UGAUUCUACUGUAUCAGGACGGACUGACAGAUUGACGGCAGUAUAAUGAUUCACUCCAAUCAGUCCAUUCACUCCAUCUUCUGCUGCUGCUGCUGUGCUCUACAGACCAGAAGCAGCACUCAUGUGGAUGUGAACCCCAGCAGAUAUCCGGGAUCCGUCUACACGACUCAGCUGUCCCAGAAGAAGCUUCCUCCGUCUCCUCCUGAGGAUGAUGAUAGCGGCG